rnacentral:rRNA from 1 species
AUGCAGCCCCAGAACAAUAGGGAUGUGGCCAACUGCAUGGAGUGCUACGCCAGUGAGCACAAUGUAACAGAGGAGGUCGCCUUUGCUGCCGUAGACUCGAUGAUAGAAGAUGAGUGGAAGACCACCAACCAAAGCAUCAAACAUGGCUGUCAGCAGCUGCCUGCGGUGCAACGGGUCGUCAACUUCACUCUCAGCGGGCCGGUGUACUACGGUGAUAGAAAAGAUGCCUUCACCUUCAGCUUGCAUCUUGACGACAUCAUUAAGAGCCUCUUUGUCAAGCCCAUUCCCAUCUAG